CAAGGGUCACCGUGAAUCGUGGCCCGAUGCGGUUGAUCCACCGAUCCGCUACAUCGUUGCACCUCGCUUCCUCCUUGCAACCAGCACGCGAGCGUUCGCGCCAACACACCACGUUUCAAGGAGAGAGUAGCGAUGUCCGGUAAAGAGAUCGGAACCGUCAAGUGGUUCAACGACGCCAAGGGUUUUGGCUUCAUCAGCCGCGAAAACGGCGAGGACGUGUUCGUGCAUUUCCGCGCGAUCCAGUCCCAGGGCUUCAAGAGCCUGAAGGAAGGCCAGAAGGUCUCGUUCACCGUGGUCCAGGGCCAGAAGGGCCUGCAGGCCGACGCGGUCGAGCCGAUGUAAAUCGCACUGCGUGCGAUGCUGCGCUGCCGCACGAUCGGCGCGCAACUCGGAAAAACCCGGCCAAGGCCGGGUUUUUCUUU
rnacentral:sRNA from 1 species